UACGGGGGGGGCAAGCGUUGUCCGGAAUUACUGGGCGUAAAGAGCUCGUAGGUGGUUUGUCGCGUUGUUCGUGAAAACUCACAACUCAAUUGUGGGCGUGCGGGCGAUACGGGCAGACUGGAGUACUGCAGGGGAGACUGGAAUUCCUGGUGUAGCGGUGGAAUGCGCAGAUAUCAGGAGGAACACCGGUGGCGAAGGCGGGUCUCUGGGCAGUAACUGACGCUGAGGAGCGAAAGCGUGGGGAGCGAACAGG
rnacentral:rRNA from 1 species